GGGGAAUUUUCCGCAAUGGGCGCAAGCCUGACGGAGCGACGCCGCGUGUGGGAAGAAGGCCUUCGGGUCGUAAACCACUGUCGAAGGGGAAGAUAUUGACGGUACCCUUGGAGGAAGCCCCGGCUAACUACGUGCCAGCAGCCGCGGUAAGACGUAGGGGGCAAGCGUUAUUCGGAAUUAUUGGGCGUAAAGCGCUCGUAGGCGGGACAGGAAGUCCGUGUUGAAAGACCUCGGCUCAACUGAGGGACCGGCGCGGAUACUCUUGUUCUUGAGGCAUUCAGAGGGUGAUGGAAUUCCCGGUGUAGCGGUGAGAUGCGUAGAUAUCGGGAGGAACACCAGUGGCGAAGGCGAUCACCUGGGGAUGUUCUGACGCUGAGGAGCGAAAGCUAGGGGAGCAAAAGGGAUUAGAUACCCCUGUAGUC
rnacentral:rRNA from 1 species